rnacentral:rRNA from 1 species
CCUACGGGGGGCUGCAGUGGGGGAUAUUGCACAAUGGGGGGAACCCUGAUGCAGCGACGCCGCGUGGGUGAAGAAGCGCCUCGGCGCGUAAAGCCCUGUCAGCAGGGAAGAAAAUGACGGUACCUGAAGAAGAAGCCCCGGCGAACUACGUGCCAGCAGCCGCGGUAAUACGUAGGGGGCAAGCGUUAGCCGGAUUUACUGGGUGUAAAGGGGGCGCAGACGGCGAUGCAAGCCAGGAGUGAAGGCCCGGGGCCUAACCCGGGGACUGCGCUUGGAACUGGGUGGCUGGAGUGCAGGAGGGGGAGGUGGAAUUCCGGGUGUAGCGGUGAAAUGCGUAGAUAUCAGGAGGAACACCGGUGGCGAAGGCGGCCUGCAGGACUGCAACUGACGUUGAGGCCCGAAAGCGUGGGGAGCAAACAGGAUUAGAUACCCGUGUAGUC